rnacentral:lncRNA from 1 species
UAAGUUGAGUCACCUUCCCAUUAAAACUUGACUACCGAACAACGACAAAAGAGAUACUAGCAGAUUUGUGAAUAUCCACCACAAUUUUCGGAGGGACUGAAAGUGGAAGAGGAAAUAAUUGAAGUUGCAGUCAUUUCAAAACCCAAUAAUUUCACAAACCAAAAUUGAUUUGUGCACCCUACACGCUAUUCAGGUUCAGGCACCCCGUGAAUUUUUUCCUCGUUUGUGCUCUUCAUAUCCGCACUCCUUUUGGUGUUCUUGCCCAAUUUGACUUGAACUGCUAGGAUUUUUUUUAAAAAAAAAUUAUUACAGCAAGGUGAUACGGAAGAAAAUAUUGUGGUGGUCAUCGGUGGUCUCCAUCGUCGGUAAUGGUUCAAACUUUUCCAUAGUGUUUAUUGCAAUUGAUGGUUCGAAGGUUUUAACGAUGUCUAUCCUUCUCGAUGAUUGUUUGGACGAAGUUCCUAUCCUAACGAUUUUGCAGAAUGAAAUUCUGAUGAUUUUCUAUCUUUAAUUAUGAUUUUACAACAGAGAACUGGGUUCUUUGCUGGUCCUUUGUUUUUGUGUUUUUCUUAUCUUUUUUUAAAUAUUUUUUCUCUUAUUUUAGUCAUUUUCUGUUUAAUCCUUGUAUUAACGCUUUUUUUGUGCGUGUGUACCAAACACUUUAUUCACCUCAACCUCUAGAUCAACCAUUAGAAGUAUUUAAAAUCGUGUGUUUUAACAACUAUAAGCGUAUAGAUGAAACUUUACGGAACACGGGGAUGGAGAUAACAAACUCGGGGAUGGAGAUAACAAACUGAAACAAAUACAAAAAUCCACUAGCCUAUUCUGCCUUUAACAAUGUAUCUGCUACAACAAAAACACAGCCUAGAAAUACAGAGAGAAACAUGAAUGAACAUAUGUAAAUAUUUUCUUCUCUCAACCUUUUUUAUCCUUCUCUGAUUCUUCCUCCCCUUUUUCCUCAUGACUCUGUUCGAUAUCUUCUUCUUCCCCUUCUUUUCAUAGUUUAAUGCACCCUCCAUCCUAGCUAGAAAAGAACACCAACAAAAAACAAUCAGUGCUAGAGAUAAAAAUAAAAUAAAGAUAAAUAAUUAGAUAUAGAGAAAUACAUAUGUUAACUUCACAAUGUUACCUCAAAAUUUCUUCUUCUCCUUUUCAUAGUUGCUAGUGACACGAUGAUAUUCUAAUGGUAAUAACUCGCUUAAUACCUUCCCAAGUUCUCUUUCAUAACAGUUGACAAGUUGAAACCUAGAUAUAUAGUCAAGAUAAAUAGAAUAAAACAAGUAUAUUAGAAUAUCUUUGAUUUGCCCUAUUAUAAAAAAUGGGAGAGCAGUAUUCAUAACAUACCAGUAAGCCAAAGACUGAAACGGAUCAUAACGUUUGUAGAUUUGUUGUAUUUUGUCCCUUACCUGGAGAUUGAUGAAUCCUCUUUUUCUCUUGUGCACUUUAAGUCCAUGAAACUGAAAUGAAGCUCAUGCAUCAGACUCGGAAAAUAAUGACUAACAAAAUAAAAAUAUGGGCUAAUUAAUAGGAUGAAACUAAAUAAAUUCCUUUGGCCCAAUUAAUUUUUAUUGGCAAACCAUUUAAAGCUCAUUUAGAUUGAAAGUAGAAUAUGCAAUAAGUUAACAAAUCAAAAGAGACAAGUAAAUCGAAACAAGCAGAUCCAGUAAUAAAUUUCAUUUACCUCAGCCAUAUGACGCAUCGUUUCACUGUCAACUGGAAUAUAAUUAUAGUGUCCGGCACACAUCAUGAUAGUGUUGAUGGUAAAUGGACCAGCACCAUUUAUUUUCAGCUUAGACCAACUUGGUUCGGUACCAAUGUGGUCUUUUUCAAACUUACUGAGUUUAAUUUCCCCAUCAACAACUUGUUUUGCCAACAUAACCAAGUCCCUUGCUCUAUAUCCAAAGUUGCCUAUACCUUUUAGCUCUUUCUCACUAAAACUUGCUAAUUCUUCUGCAUUCGGAAAGUCUCCAUAAGCUGAAAUAUAUGCUCUCUUUCUUUUGGACUUGAACUUUUUAUAUUGUAGAUCACAAAGAGCCUUUGCGAGACCCAAUGAUGUCUUCCACCUAAGAAAAGUUGGCAAUAUAUAUAAAGGGUAUUUCUAAAAAACAAUUAAAAUCAACUACUCUGAUAAUCUUACAAGCACAUCCAUGUUCAACUCAAGAUGAUCAACUAUUUCAACAUUUUGUUGCAUCUAUGAACUUACGGGCAAAAGCGAAGAAGAAGAGAUUUGGCAAUAUCUUCAAAUAAGGUUGGCGAUCGAAACAAUCUACCAAAUCCUUUGGCCUCAGCUUCUGGAUGAAGCUUAUGGAAAUCUCUCACAUCUUCUUCAUCCUUGUCAGAUAGUCUCAGCAUUCUCUUAACUUGUGACUACAUAGAAGAAGUACAAUAUAUUUCAAGUCAAUUUCUUUCUAGUUUUGUUGUACAUUGAUUUUUGUACUAUUUGUUUAGGAGAGAAUCAAGAACCGUACCUGGAUGGCUAGCUCAUCCUUAAGCCAAAGAAUACUUGCACCGUAAACUUUAACGGCG